GCAAGCAAUGGAGAACAAGCCAGUAAGCAGCCCCCUCCAUGACCUCUGCACCAGCUCCUGCCUCUGGGUUCCAGCCCUGCUUGAGUUCCUGUCCUGACUUCCUUCAGUGAUGAACAGCAAUGAUGAAGUGCCUUCAGGACCAAGACAACAGAUUGCACCUGACAAACGUUCCGGUGAGAAAGACGUGACCACACAUUCCUGGUGUUUUCACAAGCUUCUUGCAAGAAAAGGGAGCAGCAGAAACAGCCAAAGGGUCCCCUCCCCUCUGAGGAACAGGACACAUGAGGUGCUGGUCUACAGACAGGACCAUGCCGAGUGCUUUACAAUGGGACCAGAACGACCAAACAGACAAGCCCAUGCAUCCGCCCGUGACUCACGGUCUCCUGAUCAACACGUGACGGUAAUGUCUGAACUGUCUCCGGAUAAUGGCCAUCCUCUCCACCUGCGCCCCCAUCUUCAUGCUUGGGACGGAGCCUUGUGCCCACACCAGGCACAGAUCUCUUUCUGGAAUUCCUCUCAGCGGAGGGGCACACCGCUCCCGACAGGAGGCAUUCACUAACUCUCAAGGCACCUGCCUUCUGGAACAGCCUCAGCUGGGGUGUCCAUCACUCCCGUUUCCUCAGAUCUCAGCAGGGCAUGGAUGGAUGGCAGGCGGCUGAUAGAGGGCUUCUGGAUUUAGGAGCCCAUCUGUGCUUUCUCAUCUUCGAAGACCGACCUCCUGCUGGCAGAGUAUAGAACACUUAGCCGCGCGGUGGUGGCGCACGCCUUUAAUCCCAGCACUCGGGAGGCAGAGGCAGGAGGAUCACUGUGAGUUCGAGUCCAGCCUGGUCUACAGAGCGAGUGCCAGGACAUGCUCCAAAGCUACAGAGAAACCCGUCUUGGAAAACCAAAAAUUAAAAAAAAAAAAUCUUAAAAAAAAAGCAAUGUUGACUUCACAAGUAAUUUUAAAAAAAUACCGAGAGGUGUUGUCUGUGUGCGCAGAGCUCCGGAAACUCACGCCCAAGCCAUUAGAGAGUCCCAAAUCUCAAGAGCAGCUGUCUUUCUGUUGGACUCUGGCCAAGACUCAG
rnacentral:lncRNA from 1 species